UACGAGGGGGGCUAGCGUUGUUCGGAAUUACUGGGCGUAAAGCGCGCGCAGGCGGUCCUUUAAGUCGGGGGUGAAAGCCCAGAGCUCAACUCUGGAACUGCCUUCGAAACUAGAGGACUUGGGUACGGGAGAGGUGAGUGGAAUUCCGAGUGUAGAGGUGAAAUUCGUAGAUAUUCGGAAGAACACCAGUGGCGAAGGCGGCUCACUGGCCCGUUACCGACGCUCAGGCGCGACAGCGUGGGGAGCAAACAGG
rnacentral:rRNA from 1 species